AAAGCGUGCGCAGGCGGUUAUAUAAGACAGAUGUGAAAUCCCCGGGCUCAACCUGGGAACUGCAUUUGUGACUGUAUAGCUAGAGUACGGUAGAGGGGGAUGGAAUUCCGCGUGUAGCAGUGAAAUGCGUAGAUAUGCGGAGGAACACCGAUGGCGAAGGCAAUCCCCUGGACCUGUACUGACGCUCAUGCACGAAAGCGUGGGGAGCAAACAGGAUUAGAUACCCCGGU
rnacentral:rRNA from 1 species